AGAGAUGCACCGGUGCACACACGCCGCACGGUGGCCUGGUACUAGCACACUGCGGCGCACCACACCACACCGUGCACGCUGCAGUUUCGGCCACGGGAAAACGUUUGGAUGGAGGCGCUGGGCCUCCUGGGCCGCGCGUGCCGCCUCGCCACUUCCGCCGCCGCAGCACGGCCACUCCUCCCCCUCCCCCUCCUCGCAGCAACAGCAAGCGCUGCAGAGCCGUGCGCGCCGGAGCCAGAGCCGCCUCCUCGUCGGCGCCGCGGGCGAUGGAAGCCAAGCGGGAGGAGCCGAGGGUGGUGACGCUGCGGCCGGGGGAGGCCACGCCGGAGUCCUUCGCGCCCUUCGGGCAGGUCAUCGCCGCCUCCCCCGACGGCGACCAGUUCGGCCCCCACGACGCCCAGCUUGACCUCAGCCGCGGCAUCCCCAGGUUCUACAUCAUGAGAUUGGAGAGCAGGCCGCUCAAGUUCUCGUCCAUCACCCACCACGCCAGCGUCACGCAGUGCCUGGGCUCCAUCGGCGGCCAGGACUGGUACCUCGGCGUGGCCAAGCCUUCCAUCGUUGACGGGGCGACGGAGCAGAGUGGUGGCGGGAGUGCCGUGCAGUCGCGCGCUGGGCAUUUCUAUCUGCCCCCGGACCCGUCCGAGGUCUGCGUCUUCCGUGUCUCCGGUCCGAAAUUUCUCAAGCUGCACGCCGGGACCUGGCACGCCGGGCCGCUGUUCAAGGCAGACGCCGUGGAUUUCUAUAAUCUAGAGCUGAGCAACACCAAUAUUUUUCUACUGGAGGAAAUGUUGUGCACCCAAUCUAAAACAAGUGAGGAAAUCCAUCGGCUACCAUUUAGGCCAAACUCAAAAUGUUGGCACUAAAAAAGGAUGUGAAUUCAUAAAAUUAUGUUGCUUCAUCGUGCCAUUCGCACCAUUGCAUUUAAAUUAAAGCCGCGCUGCUGCUAGAUGAUCGUGGAUCACACCACGCACUACUUCAAGAAGCACGACGGUGUAGCCUUUGUGAUCGAGGACUGAGAGGCUGCGUCCUAGGCACAAAAGCUCGGCGCAGCGUGUGCCUCGCGGACGCUGUUCGUGCCAUGUCUGUCUCUCCGUGUGAUCGAACAUCCAGUAUGUAUGUGUAUGCAAUAAUGUACUAUGCGUACUGCAUGUCAUUUGUACGUGCCUACGUACGCAUCGGCCGCCUCCCUGGGCGUUUAUUUG